rnacentral:rRNA from 1 species
AGAUUGAACGCUGGCGGCAGGCCUAACACAUGCAAGUCGAACGGUAACAGGAAGCAGCUUGCUGCUUCGCUGACGAGUGGCGGACGGGUGAGUAAUGUCUGGGAAACUGCCUGAUGGAGGGGGAUAACUACUGGAAAGGGUGGCUAAUACCGCAUAACGUCGCAGGACCAAAGAGGGGGACCUUCGGGCCUCUUGCCAUCAGAUGUGCCCAGAUGGGAUUAGCUUGUUGGUGAGGUAACGGCUCACCAAGGCGACGAUCCCUAGCUGGUCUGAGAGGAUGACCAGCCACACUGGAACUGAGACACGGUCCAGACUCCUACGGGAGGCAGCAGUGGGGAAUAUUACACAAUGGGCGCAAGCCUGAUGCAGCCAUGCCGCGUGUAUGAAGAAGGCCUUCGGGUUGUAAAGUACUUUCAGCGGGGAGGAAGGUGUUGUGGUUAAUAACCGCACCAAUUGACGUUACCCGCAGAAGAAGCACCGGCUAACUCCGUGCCAGCAGCCGCGGUAAUACGGAGG